rnacentral:rRNA from 1 species
AACGCUGGCGGCGUGCCUAAUACAUGCAAGUGGAACGCAUGAUUGAUACCGUAGCUUGCUACACCAUUAAUCAUGAGUCGCGAACGGGUGAGUAACGCGUAGGUAACCUGCCUACUAGCGGGGGAUAACUAUUGGAAACGAUAGCUAAUACCGCAUAAGAGUUUUUUAACACAUGUUAGAAAUUUAAAAGGAGCAAAUGCUUCACUAGUAGAUGGACCUGCGUUGUAUUAGCUAGUUGGUAAGGUAACGGCUUACCAAGGCGACGAUACAUAGCCGACCUGAGAGGGUGAUCGGCCACACUGGGACUGAGACACGGCCCAGACUCCUACGGGAGGCAGCAGUAGGGAAUCUUCGGCAAUGGGGGGAACCCUGACCGAGCAACGCCGCGUGAAGUGAAGAAGGUUUUCGGAUCGUAAAGCUCUGUUGUAAGAGAAGAACGUUGAGUAGAGUGGAAAGUUACUCAAGUGACGGUAUCUUACCAGAAAGGGACGGCUAACUACGUGCCAGCCGCGGC